rnacentral:ncRNA from 2 species
CACCCUGUAGAACCGAAUUUGUGUUAACAAUACGCAACCGCAAAUUCGCCUCUACGGGA